CCUACGGGUGGCAGCAGUAGGGAAUUUUCGGCAAUGGGGGGAACCCUGACCGAGCAACGCCGCGUGAACGAAGAAGUUAUUCGUAAUGUAAAGUUCUUUUAACAGGGAAGAAAGAGAAAUUUGACGGUACCUGAAGAAUAAGCUCCGGCUAACUACGUGCCAGCAGCCGCGGUAAUACGUAGGGAGCGAGCGUUAAUCGGAAUUACUGGGCGGAAAGCGCUCGUAGGCGGUAUGUCAAGUCAAGGGUGAAAUCCCCGCGCUCAACGUGGGAACUGCCUUUGAAACUGGCAAACUGGAGUGUGUGAGAGGAUAGUGGAAUUCCAGGUGUAGGAGUGAAAUCCGUAGAUAUCUGGAGGAACAUCAGUGGCGAAGGCGACUAUCUGGCACAUAACUGACGCUGAGGAGCGAAAGCGUGGGUAGCAAACAGGAUUAGAUACCCCUGUAGUC
rnacentral:rRNA from 1 species